GAGGGUAUAAGCUCAAGUGGUAGAGCGCAUGCUUAACAUGCGUGAGGUCCUGGGUUCAAUUCCCAGCACCUCCA
rnacentral:tRNA from 1 species